CUGCUUUCAUCUUGAGCAGGCUUUGUCCAAUCUUGCCAUGUCAUGCCACGGUACAUUUCACCGAAAAACAGCUUAAAUCAAGUGUGUUGAACACAGUUCUACUAAGUGAGAUGCAAUAAGUACAUUAAGUAGAACAACCGUAACAAAUAUUGUUCCCCGCACCACGGUUGAUGCGGGUGCCUACCCAGCAUUGACGCGAAAGUCGGGGAGCCGAGCACAGUGUAUUGACCAGCAUGUUCAAGAAGCAGCCAGUGUUUCAGUGGGGGGAAAGGAUAAUGGGAGAAAGAUGAGAAGGAAAACAAUAGCAAAGCGCAUUUUCGACCUCGAAUAUGAAGAAGAGGAGGAGGAAGACCCCAAAUAUGAAGACUUUGGCAACACGACAUCGCACAGCCAGCCUCUAUGUCACAGACUGCAGAAGAGAAGAAAGCACACACACCCGGUGAAUGAGAACGUAGAAGAGAAUCCACCAUGCAACAUCGCUCUCCAGAAGUUGAAAACAAGGGGGUUACAACUUGGAACCACAAGGUUGUAGUAGUCGUGGCACAGAGAGCAUUCACCUCUCAGCUGUGUUUUGUCCUAAUGGCGCUUAUGUGAGAGAGGGGCAUGAUGAGGGCAGCCAUUGAUCUCAAUGACGGAGAGGAGGAGAGCACAAGCCUUUGGCAAGGUACCAGUGUCUGACAACCCCAGUGUGGAACGCAUAGAGGAGGGUGACUUCAUGGCAGAGGGUCUUGGAGGCCUACAGUCACGUUCAAAGGCUGACCUGGUUGCCAUGGUGCUGAGCAUGCAGCGAGAGAUGGACAACAUGAGGGAGCAAAUCAGAUGCCUCACAGCGUGUGGAAAGUUGGCACGUAACCUGGAGGCCCUGAUUGAGAGGACGGAGGUGUGGUCGAGCAGCACGGACCGCAGAACUACAUCUCCCAGCAUGCCUGAGAUCCUGGUGAGGAGUGGUGCCAUGACAACGUCGGCCCUGCUGGCCUCUCCAGGGGUGCUGAACGGGUGCUGGGCAGCCAAACUAGAGCCCCUCCACCCCCACCAGAAUGGACAACCUCCUGGGUCUCAUGAGGGGGGUUCCCAGAUCAACGGACCACCUCUCUAUCAGGAGUUCAUCACUGCGGAGCUGCUUGACCGCUGUAACACGGGGACCACUGCCCAGAAGCUGACCAAUGACCUGCUCCGGGGCCUCUAUGAAAGGGACUGCCUGGCCUCUCACUCCAUCUCCGGCAUCGUCAACAACAAGAGGGGCCAACCCAAGCCUGCCCUGCCUGCAGACGAGAUCCAGGCAAUACUGAGGGCGGUGCAGCACUACUUCCCAGGGAAGACAGACUCGGAGAUCAAGGGCUACAUCCGCCAGAAGCUGCAGAACGAAGCCAAGCGGCUCCGCAAGAAGCCUCAUCUGGCCGUGAAGGUGGAGCCAGAGGCCGGGGCUGAGGGGGCGGAGACUACUUUCUACACCUAAGCGGUGUGGCCCCGCCGAACCCCACCCCCUGUUCCACCCAGGGAGUGAAGUGCCCCGCCUCUGUCCAGGUUAAAGUGCAAUUAUGGGAGGGAGACUCGCGUAAAAACUGCUGUGAGAGGGAACCAAAAUGGAGCAGCCUUAUCAACACCAGUCUAGUCUAUCUGUUUGUCUGUCCAUUCCCAGCCACGUCUCUGGGCUGGGGGAGAAAUAGGCUAGUGAGGGAGGAGUCUAUUUGUCUGACAACGUGAUCAUUCCAGGGGAAGUGUUAUGGACUCCAGUCUGAUCAAGACUAGUUACUGCUCAGGUGAAGUUAGAUGAUACUGUAGCUUAUUCUUCCUCUGCCCUCUGGCAUCGUUGUCAAGCCUCAGCCAGCUAGCCAGCCAGCAGUAGUAGGCCUAGUAGAUGGCAAGUGAUUUGUUACCAAGUUUAGUACUCUUGUUUCUGUGAAAGGGGUAGCAGUCAGUUGGUGCUCUAUAGAGAAGUCGUAACAGAAGUCCUGAACAGCAUAGCCGUCAGCGAAGCUGCGCUGCACUCUGUGUCACUUCAGUUUGAUUUACAGUAUUGUCAUUGACCUCGUGAAAUGAACCUAGCCUUAGUAUUGAAUUAAUUUCAAUUUUGCUGAAUAAAAAAAUGACUGUUUUUUUCCCAAA
rnacentral:lncRNA from 1 species